CUGACAACGCGCUUUGCUUAGGGUUAGACAGAUCAAGCCACGACCAUGAGUUGCCAUAAAGUUGAUCGCAUCUGGAGUGAUUUUUUCUGCCGCAAUAAUAA
rfam:Photobacterium damselae subsp. piscicida DI21 genomic scaffold scaffold00001, whole genome shotgun sequence.